rnacentral:sRNA from 1 species
UCUAUAUGGCUGAUAAGUGGCAUUGA